CGAUGCAAUCAGCAUGCUGAUUAAGGUUGCUUGGUUUUUUACUAAACAUUAACUGAAUGAAAACGGGUACUGCUUGUUCUGCUUGGGGGGCUUUAAGGAAGCAAAUGGACUUUCAGAACAGAGAUUGUCAAUAAAGAUGCAAUAGAUGACCUUGACAUCUUCCACAUUUGACCAUGAUCUAAGUACUCCACAGAGCCUUCAGCUUCAGCCAUCUUCAUCACCAUUGGAACAAAUUAUUCUCAAGGCUUAGUGGAUAGAGUUAAGAACCAGGAAUCAGUCAGAAAACUUGUUAUCUCAUCAGUGAUGCAAAUAGUGUGAUCUUUGGCAGUGACUGAACUAGUGUCAACACCCCAGGAAACAAAUGUGAGAAAAGGAAAAUUAGUGAAAAUGAAUCUGUGAAGUAGUUUCUUCAUAACAAAACUCAGUCCACCUACCAAAUAGUUCACAAGAAUGUUUGUUUCAAACUAGCAUAGUUUCUCAUUUUGACCCAGAUUUUUUCCUUUCAAUUUCUUAUUUACUAUACAGCUGUCUCUCUCCCUUCUCUCCACCCCCUCUCCUCUUGGCCCUGUCCUCCUUCUUUGCUACUGAGCCAAUAACAGUUUCUUCUGUUACGCUGAGUCCCUGCUGUUGCUCUCGCCACAGGAAUAGAGCAGGACAUUGUCACAUACCGUAGUUUCAGGACCUCACCUAUCUAAUUGGGUUUGCAGAAGCAACUUUCACAGAUUCAUGGGGUCAUAGAAAUGUGGAACUAAAAGGGACUUCAGUCAAACAACCAAAAGUCCAGAGUCACAUGGUUAGUGUCAAAGGUCAUUCUACAGGAUAGAGAACUGAGGAAAACAUGGUUAAAUGACUUGCCAAGGAUAACACAGCUAGUCGACCAAUUGUGAACUCCAGAUGUGGCUUUUGAGAAUACAUCUGUGGUAAAGCCAGCAUCCUGUCAAUGCUGUAUCUUUGAGGCAAUAAUCAAGAGCAACUAAACAUGAGAGAAGAUGAAUGAAUUUCUCAACACUGAGCUGCCUGUCCGGUGUCCAGCCCUUUGAAGAUCUAGUCAAGACUAUUUCUGUGUUAGAACCUUGAGAGAUGUCACACUAAUUCAAAGAAAAGUCUUUCCUUGUUGAAACAUUUUGCUUAAUGACAUCUUUAUUCAUGUGAAACUACAGGAUGAUUUUCUACAAUAUGAUUAUGUUUUUGUUCAUCAGAAAUGUUAUUUUUCUUUACAGAGUCUGGUUUCAAUGAGCCAGCUAUGUAAUAGAUAUUAAAUAAACAUGGAAUUUUAUACAU